rnacentral:rRNA from 1 species
UGGGGAAUUUUGGACAAUGGGCGAAAGCCUGAUCCAGCAAUGCCGCGUGUGUGAAGAAGGCCUUCGGGUUGUAAAGCACUUUUGUCCGGAAAGAAAUCCUUGGCUCUAAUACAGUCGGGGGAUGACGGUACCGGAAGAAUAAGCACCGGCUAACUACGUGCCAGCAGCCGCGGUAAUACGUAGGGUGCAAGCGUUAAUCGGAAUUACUGGGCGUAAAGCGUGCGCAGGCGGUUUGCUAAGACCGAUGUGAAAUCCCCGGGCUCAACCUGGGAACUGCAUUGGUGACUGGCAGGCUAGAGUAUGGCAGAGGGGGGUAGAAUUCCACGUGUAGCAGUGAAAUGCGUAGAGAUGUGGAGGAAUACCGAUGGCGAAGGCAGCCCCCUGGGCCAAAUACUGACGCUCAUGCACGAAAGCUGGGGAGCAAACAGGAUUAGAUACCCUGGUAGUCCACGCCCUAAACGAUGUCAACUAGUUGUUGGGGAUUCAUUUCCUUAGUAACGUAGCUAACGCGUGAAGUUGACCGCCUGGGGAGUACGGUCGCAAGAUUAAAACUUAAAUGAAUUGACGGGGUCAUAGCUGUUUCCU